AAUGAAACAAAUGAACAGCAAACAGUCGGACUAACAUUCUAGAUCAUAAGUCAUAACAGAUAAACAGAAACAUUUUAUGCAUUCGCUAUGUAGAUAAUCGUGAGUCAAGCAGUCAGAUCAUCUCUUAUAAAGAAAAUAAGUCCCAUAUCACAUCGUAAAUAGCGAAAACAGACUGGAGGAAGCAAUAAUAGUGAAAAACAGUAUAAAUAACGCGAGUUUCGAUCUGUAAUGGAAGAGAAAAAGAAGCCGUUGGUUUUGUUUUUCAAAUGGCAUGUUGUAAGAAAAGGUGUGGUAUUACAAAUUUACCAACAAAAGUGCACCUCGUUAGCAUAAUGUAAAGUAUGCACAGAACUGUGUAAAAAACUAUUAUCGAAACCUGUAUUCUAUGCCUUAUAUUCGUCACAACAUAACCAUUUAAUGCGUAAUGUAUCGGACUGGAAAAAACAAAUGUCUCACUCGAUGAACGCACAGAAAGAGAAGCAAUUUGGGGAAAAUCAAACAGCGUCUUGCAUAAGGCGGCAUUUUUGUCAUCAUUCGCGGAAAGAAGUAGAGCAACACAAAAAGGUCACACGAUUUAGUUCUGCCAGCAGCUGAGAGGCACCAUUGUGUUCACUGCCCUGCUUCUUGCUCUUGUGGAAAAUGUAAUGCACACAAAGAAGAUUGCUGUUGUGCAUAACCUGGUUGUGUAACACUGAGGUUACCGGUAAUUUUGAAGCAAGAAUGAAGGUUGCUGCAGAAUUGACAUUAGUGUUGAAAUGAGAUAAAGGAAAUAAGUCGACUUUCUGUUUCUGAAAUUUUGUUGGUAAUACUGCUACAGUCAGUUGGGAAAUGGAACGGAACAAACAGGCUUUAAGCAUCCUCUUCAAGCCUACAGUGAAGAAAAGUGUAUGUAUAACCCACAGGACCCGCUAUAUCGUAAUAAGGAUGCCAGGAAAGAGAAACUGGCAGUGAUAGGCUGUAAAGUUCGCGAAGUUUUGCCCAACCCAACAGAUGAGGACUGCAAAACUCACUUCAUGUCACUGCAGUCGCACUUUUGUGGAGAGCUAAAAAAAAUUAGAGCCAGUGAGCAUAGUGGUGCAGGGGCAGAUCAUAAACUUUAUGAGCCUGCUGUGUGGUGGUUCAAUGCUUUGAAGUUUUUGAAGGACUACGUGACACCAAGGAAAACAGUGACAAAUGUCCCAAGCCGUAUGUGUUAUGAGCGGUUCACAAUGUGCUAUAGACUAACAUGGGCCUUUAAUAUUUUAGAUACCACAGCCACUCUCAUCAAAUCCAUGUAGCACGACCAUUUUCAAUGACUCUUGUAAUACUGAGAUGACCACAGUUACUGAAGAGACCAUAGUAAAUGAGGGAUAUAUUGAAGAUGACAACAGCAAUUACUCCCAAGACAUAUUUACUGUGGAAUCGUCAGAGGGAAGUACGCCUGUAUCAAUACCAUCACCUUACGCUUCAGCCAGAAAGAGGCGUAGUAGGGACACUGAGGAUGAAAAAAUGGUUCAAAUGGCUCUGAGCACUAUGGGACUCAACAUCUUAGGUCAUAAGUCCCCUAGAACUUAGAACUACUUAAACCUAACUAACCUAAGGACAUCACACACACCCAUGCCCGAGGCAGGAUUCGAACCUGCGACCGUAGCAGUCCCGUGGUUCCGGACUGCAGCGCCAGAACCACUACACUGAGGAUGAAUUAGCCACCUCAACAUUGUCAGUCUUAAGAGACAUUGAAGUUUCCAUUAAUGGCAGCAAUGAAGAUGUCAAGUUUGGGCAGUAUGUUGCUGCUGAAUUGAAGAAAUUGAAAAAUCCAGCAGUUAAGGCUGAUGUGAAAUUGAAUGUCAUGAAAUGUAUCAUGGAUGGCAUACGUAAAGAAAUCUGUAACUGAUUUUAAAGUUAA